rnacentral:rRNA from 1 species
AUGCACGCUGGCGGCGUGCUUAACACAUGCCAGUCGAACGAUGAAGCCCAGCUUGCUGGGUGGAUUAGUGGCGAACGGGUGAGUAACACGUGAGUAACCUGCCCUUGACUCUGGGAUAAGCCUGGGAAACUGGGUCUAAUACUGGAUAUGACUUCUCAUCGCAUGGUGGGGGGUGGAAAGAUUUAUUGGUCUUGGAUGGACUCGCGGCCUAUCAGCUUGUUGGUGAGGUAAUGGCUCACCAAGGCGACGACGGGUAGCCGGCCUGAGAGGGUGACCGGCCACACUGGGACUGAGACACGGCCCAGACUCCUACGGGAGGCAGCAGUGGGGAAUAUUGCACAAUGGGCGCAAGCCUGAUGCAGCGACGCCGCGUGAGGGAUGACGGCCUUCGGGUUGUAAACCUCUUUCAGUAGGGAAGAAGCGAGAGUGACGGUACCUGCAGAAGAAGCGCCGGCUAACUACGUG